rnacentral:rRNA from 1 species
AAUACCCGCUGAACUUAAGCAUAUCAAUAAGCGGAGGAAAAGAAACCAACAGGGAUUGCCCCAGUAACGGCGAGUGAAGCGGCAACAGCUCAAAUUUGAAAUCUGGUCCCUAGGGCCCGAGUUGUAAUUUGUAGAGGAUGCUUUUGGUGAGGUGCCGCCCGAGUUCCCUGGAACGGGACGCCACAGAGGGUGAGAGCCCCGUCUGGCUGGCCGCCGAGCCUCUGUAAAGCUCCUUCGACGAGUCGAGUAGUUUGGGAAUGCUGCUCAAAAUGGGAGGUAUAUGUCUUCUAAAGCUAAAUAUUGGCCAGAGACCGAUAGCGCACAAGUAGAGUGAUCGAAAGAUGAAAAGCACCUUGAAAAGAGGGUUAAAUAGUACGUGAAAUUGUUGAAAGGGAAGCGCUUGUGACCAGACUUGGGCGCGGCGGAUCAUCCGGGGUUCUCUCCGGUGCACUUCGCCGCGUCUAGGCCAGCAUCAGUUCGUCGCGGGGGAAAAAGGCUUCGGGAACGUGGCUCCUCCGGGAGUGUUAUAGCCCGUUGCAUAAUACCCUGCGGUGGACUGAGGACCGCGCAUCUGCAAGGAUGCUGGCGUAAUGGUCACCAGCGACCCGUCUUGAAACACGGACCAAGGAGUCGUCUUCGUAUGCGAGUGUUCGGGUGUCAAACCCCUACGCGUAAUGAAAGUGAACGCAGGUGAGAGCUUCGGCGCAUCAUCGACCGAUCCUGAUGUUCUCGGAUGGAUUUGAGUAAGAGCAUACGGGGCCGGACCCGAAAGAAGGUGAACUAUGCCUGUAUAGGGUGAAGCCAGAGGAAACUCUGGUGGAGGCUCGCAGCGGUUCUGACGUGCAAAUCGAUCGUCAAAUAUGGGCAUGGGGGCGAAAGACUAAUCGAACCUUCUAGU